CCCUUAGAUGUUCUGGGCUGCACACGUGCUACACUGGCAGGUUCAGCGAGCUUCAUGCCCUGAUCUGAAAGGAAUGGGAAAUCUUUUCAAAACCUGCCGUGCUUGGGAUAGAUGUUUGCAAUUAUUCAUCUUCAACGAGGAUUGCCUUGUAAGCGCACGUCCUCAGCGUGCAUUGAAUACGACCCUGUAUUCUGUACACACCGCCCGUCGCUCCUACCGAUUGAAGUUUUCGGUGAGUUGACAGGAGGAUUUUUUUGAAACUGGUUCGCCAGUGGAUUUUAGAUCCAAAUGCCAACGAAUCGAUGGCUUUAGAGGAAGGAGAAGUCGUAACA
rnacentral:rRNA from 1 species